rnacentral:rRNA from 1 species
AUAUCAAUAAGCGGAGGAAAAGAAACUAACAAGGAUUCCCCUAGUAACGGCGAGUGAAGCGGGAUGAGCUCAAAUUUAAAAUCUGGCAGUCUUCGAUUGUCCGAGUUGUAUCUAGAGAAGCGUUUUCCGCGCUGGACUGUGUACAAGUUUCCUGGAUACGGAACAUCAUAGAGGGUGAGAAUCCCGUCCUUGACACAGACUCCCAGUGCUCUGCGAUGCGCUCUCGACGAGUCGAGUUGUUUGGGAUUGCAGCUCAAAAUGGGAGGUAAAUUCCUUCUAAAGCUAAAUAUUGGCGAGAGACCGAUAGCGCACAAGUA